rnacentral:ncRNA from 1 species
UCCAAACAUAAAGUUUUGGUCCUAAACUUGCCAUUGUUUUUUACCAAAAUUAUACAUGCAAGCCUCCACACACCAGUGAGAAUGCCCACACACCCCUAAACAGCAAAUCGGAGCAGGCAUCAGGAUACAACAUUUUUAGCCGAAAACGCCUUGCACAUGCCACACCCACACGGGCCCUCAGCAGUAAUUAACAUUAAAACAUGAGCGAAAGCUCGACUUAGUUAUGGUUAAUAUGGUCGGUAAAUUUCGUGCCAGCCACCGCGGUUAUACGAAAGACCAAAAACAAUGACCCUCGGCGUAAAGCGUGACUAGAGCACAAUAAACUAUUAAAGGGGCACAACUGCCAAGUUGUAAAACACUACUGCAAGUUAGAACAACAAUAAGACACCUUUAAAAUCCCCUACCUCACGAAAGCUAAGAAACAAACUGGGAUUAGAUACCCCACUAUGCUUAGCCCUAAACACAGAUAGUAUAACACAACACUAUUCGCCAGAGAACUACAAGCGAAAAGCUAGAAACUCCAAGGACUUGGCGGUGCUUCAAAUCAACCUAGAGGAGCCUGUCCUAUAAUCGAUACCCCACGUUAAACCCUACCCCUUUUAGCCCCCAGCCUAUAUACCGCCGUCGUCAGCCUACCUUAUGAAAGAAAUAAAGUGAGCAAAAAAGUUAACAACUAGCACGUCAGGUCAAGGUGUAGCACAUGAAGCGGCAGAGAUGGGCUACAUUUUUUCAAAGUAAAAAAACGAAUGAUAAACUGAAACACAAACCUGAAGGCGGAUUUAGUAGUAAGAUAAACAAGAAUAUUUAUCUUAAAACUGCUCUGAAGCGCGCACACACCGCCCGUCACCCUCAUCACAUGUAAUUUCACAUAAAAUAUAACACCAAAACACCCCACA